GAUGAAGAACGUAGUGAAAUGCGAUAAGUAAUGUGAAUUGCAGAAUUCAGUGAAUCAUCGAAUCUUUGAACGCACAUUGCGCCCCUUGGUAUUCCGGGGGGCAUGCCUGUUCGAGCGUCAUUUCAACCCUCAAGCUCUGCUUGGUAUUGGGCACCGUCCUUUGCGGGCGCGCCUCAAAGACCUCGGCGGUGGCGUCUUGCCUCAAGCGUAGUAGAAUACACCUCGCUUCGGAGCGUAAGGCGUCGCCCGCCGGACGAACCUUCUGAACUUUUCUCAAGGUUGACCUCGGAUCAGGUAGGGAUACCCGCUGAACUUAAGCAUAUCAAUAAGCGGAGGA
rnacentral:misc_RNA from 1 species